rnacentral:pre_miRNA from 1 species
CAACUACUCCAUCUGUCCCAAAUUUCUUGUCUUAGAUUUGUUUAGAUAUGGAUGUAUCUAAUACUAAAAUGUGACUUGAUACAUCCGUAUCUAUACAAAUCUAAGAUAAGAAUUUUGGGACGGAGGGAGUAAUUU